AGACCAGCCAUUUUGCACUUAGUUUGGAAAACAAGGUGCUUUGUUUUGUUUAAUCUUCGGCAUCCACCUGUAUUGAACUCUGGAUAAGCUUUGAUUUAUCACAGAGCUGUUGGAAAACACUGCAAGAAUGCAAGUUGAUGAAGACAAACAAUGUCUACAGGGACGGAAUUAUACAAGAAGAAGAACAACGCAGUGAUGAAACGCGCUCUGUAGUGCUGUUUGUCUGUUUACGGCUACUGUAGAAACAUGGUAGCGCAACAUGGCGACAUCCAUGGAGGGGGGG